UACGUAGGUGGCAAGCGUUGUCCGGAUUUACUGGGCGUAAAGAGCGCGCAGGCGGCCUGAUCAGUCGAAUGUGAAAGCCCCCGGCUCAACUGGGGAGGGUCACGCGAUACUGAUCGACUCGAAGGCAGGAGAGGGUAGUGGAAUUCCCGGUGUAGUGGUGAAAUGCGUAGAUAUCGGGAGGAACACCAGUGGCGAAGGCGACUACCUGGCCUGUUUCUUGACGCUGAGGCGCGAAAGCUAGGGGAGCAAACGGG
rnacentral:rRNA from 1 species